UGAACGCUGGCGGCGUGCCUACUACAUGCACGUCGAGCGAACAGACGAGGAGCUUGCUCCUCUGACGUUAGCGGCGGGCGGGUGAGUAACACGUGGAUAACCUACCUAUAAGACUGGGAUAACUUCGGGAAACCGGAGCUAAUACCGGAUAAUAUAUUGAACCGCAUGGUUCAAUAGUGAAAGACGGUUUUGCUGUCACUUAUAGAUGGAUCCGCGCCGCAUUAGCUAGUUGGUAAGGUAACGGCUUACCAAGGCAACGAUGCGUAGCCGACCUGAGAGGGUGAUCGGCCACACUGGAACUGAGACACGGUCCAGACUCCUACGGGAGGCAGCAGUAGGGAAUCUUCCGCAAUGGGCGAAAGCCUGACGGAGCAACGCCGCGUGAGUGAUGAAGGUCUUCGGAUCGUAAAACUCUGUUAUUAGGGAAGAACAAAUGUGUAAGUAACUAUGCACGUCUUGACGGUACCUAAUCAGAAAGCCACGGCUAACUACGUG
rnacentral:rRNA from 1 species